rnacentral:piRNA from 1 species
UAGCUGCAUUCAAUAAGGCAGAAUUUUGUC